rnacentral:rRNA from 1 species
AACGAACGCUGGCGGCAUGCCUAACACAUGCAAGUCGAACGAGACCACCGGGUGUAUUCGCGCACGGGUUCGUAACGCGUGGGAACCUGCCCUUAGGGUCGGAAUAACUCUCCGAAUGGGGUGCUAAUACCGGAUAAUGUCUUCUGACCAAAGAUUUAUUGCCCUUGGAUGGGCCCGCGUUGCAUUAGCUAGUUGGUAGGGUAAAAGCCUACCAAGGCGACGAUCCAUAGCUGGUCUGUGAGGAUGAUCAGCCACACUGGGAGUGAGACACGGCCCAGACUCCUACGGGAGGCAGCAGUGGGGAAUAUUGGACCAUGGGCGAAAGGCUGAUCCAGCACUGCCGCGUGAGUGAUGAAGUCCUUAGAGUUGUAAAGCUCUUUUACCCGGGAUGAUAAUGACAGUACCGGGAGAAUAAGCUCCGGCUAACUCCGUG